GAGAGAGGUAUUACACGAUAAGAACUGCUAAUUCAUAUACCUGAGAUUAAUCCCUCAGCUCCCUCA
rnacentral:tRNA from 1 species